rnacentral:rRNA from 1 species
GUCUACUUGGAGGUUGUGGCCUUGAGCCGUGGCUUUCGGAGCUAACGCGUUAAGUAGACCGCCUGGGGAGUACGGUCGCAAGAUUAAAACUCAAAUGAAUUGACGGGGGCCCGCACAAGCGGUGGAGCAUGUGGUUUAAUUCGAUGCAACGCGAAGAACCUUACCUACUCUUGACAUCCAGAGAACUUUCCAGAGAUGGAUUGGUGCCUUCGGGAACUCUGAGACAGGUGCUGCAUGGCUGUCGUCAGCUCGUGUUGUGAAAUGUUGGGUUAAGUCCCGCAACGAGCGCAACCCUUAUCCUUGUUUGCCAGCGAGUAAUGUCGGGAACUCCAGGGAGACUGCCGGUGAUAAACCGGAGGAAGGUGGGGACGACGUCAAGUCAUCAUGGCCCUUACGAGUAGGGCUACACACGUGCUACAAUGGCGCAUACAGAGGGCGGCCAACUUGCGAAAGUGAGCGAAUCCCAAAAAGUGC